rnacentral:lncRNA from 1 species
AGUUUUACGAUCCUACAUCUGGGCAAGCAAGCUCCUCUUGAAGUUGAUAUCUUACAAAUGAUUAGAAGAAUCGAUUCCUUCUGAGACUCAUCAGAUCAUUUCCUGCAAAAUCCUCAUCUUGCUGUCUACUUGUGGAAAAGAAGCAUACCUCUUGGAAACUACCUUCCUUAGACCUCAGAGUUUGAAAGAAGCAGGUGCUGAAUCUUAGUUUUUCGUGAACAAGAAAAAUGGGCUGCAAUAGAGACUGUGGACUCAUUGCUGGUGCUGUCAUUGGAGCAGUCCUGGCCGUGUUUGGAGGUAUUCUAAUGCCAGUUGGAGACAUGAUUAUU